AUGACGUUUCUCUGCCCACAGUGCCUCCAGAAGGAGGCUGGGAUGGGGGCGGAGAUGUGGACUGCUCUGGACCAGUCGUACGCAGGCUUGUCGGACGCUAUCAGUCCUGGAGCGGCCCAACUCCUUAUUGAGAGACUUGAGGAGGAGAGAACACAGUGGAAGGCUCUAGUGCAGGAGGUGGAUGAGGAGCUGCUGAGAACUGGGGAUCUGCUGUCGUUCUGGGGGGAGUACAACCGUCUGUACGACCAAUGCUCCGUCCGCCUGCAACACCACCAGGAACAGUGGGGGGCGCUGCUCAGCUUCCUGUCGACACCAUGCCACUCCACACAGGACCUGGUCGAUGCCAUCAAGCAUCAGCAGGUUGGCUUUGAGGAUGUUCAAGGCAGUCUGGGCGAAGUCCUGGAAGCCUCCAAGCCUCUGAUUGGACAGGCGGAGCCACUUGUCGCCGCCAUCGUUCAAUCAAAGUCCAUGUUGUUGUCACGUGACCUGGUGCUGCUGGGCCAGGCGUUGUCAGGGAAACGUGCACGGCUUCAGGUGAGAGGGGAAAGCCAUGUAUAA
rnacentral:lncRNA from 1 species